rnacentral:rRNA from 1 species
GAUGAACGCUGGCGGCGUGCCUAAUACAUGCAAGUCGAGCGAACGGACGAGAAGCUUGCUUCUCUGAUGUUAGCGGCGGACGGGUGAGUAACACGUGGAUAACCUACCUAUAAGACUGGGAUAACUUCGGGAAACCGGAGCUAAUACCGGAUAAUAUUUUGAACCGCAUGGUUCAAAAGUGAAAGACGGUCUUGCUGUCACUUAUAGAUGGAUCCGCGCUGCAUUAGCUAGUUGGUAAGGUAACGGCUUACCAAGGCAACGAUGCAUAGCCGACCUGAGAGGGUGAUCGGCCACACGGGAACUGAGACACGGUCCAGACUCCUACGGGAGGCAGCAGUAGGGAAUCUUCCGCAAUGGGCGAAAGCCUGACGGAGCAACGCCGCGUGAGUGAUGAAGGUCUUCGGAUCGUAAAACUCUGUUAUGAGGGAAGAACAUAUGUGUAAGUAACUGUGCACAUCUUGACGGUACCUAAUCAGAAAGCCACGGCUAACUACGUG